rnacentral:lncRNA from 1 species
UUCCUGGCGCUUUGCCCUUUGGGGAGCGGAGCCAAGGAACAGCGCCAACCUCUCUCCACAAGCCAGGGACCCUACGACCCACCGCCGCAGGUGAGCUCCGCCCGGGCGCCCCCUCCCCCACCACGCCUGGAUCCCUGCCGGGCUCCCCGAGCCGAGACUGUGCCUUCUGCAACAGGGCUGUGCUCCAGGUGGGAGAAACAUCCUUUGCUCCCUGCUUUGGGGUCCCUGGGCUCCUUGUAGGGUCUAGUAAUGGUAAAACUUCUUACUCUGGCUGGAAAGGCCAGAACCAGCAGCUGAUUUAGAUACCAUCAAGACACCUAAAACCUUAUCAUGAGCCAGAUGCUGUGGAAGAGAUUCUGGGAGAAUCCUGAGGACCCCCCAGUUGCAGCCAUGUCAAGACUGAUGCUGAGGAGGACCCCAACUGUCACGAGCAACACCCGUCGAACACAGCCACCUACUUGGGGAAAGAUCAAGAAGCUGUCACAGAUGGUGGAAGAAAACCUGAGGAAAGCGGGACAACCAGUCACAAUGAGUAAUUUAAUGAUAGCUAUGAGAGCGGUGAUCACCAUUGCUUCUGCAGAUGCAGAUCCUGACUCCUGCGAGAAGUAGCUCACCGUGAUAAAGCUGCCUUUGCUUUUAUUGCCCUGCAAAAACAAGAAGGGGGAUAUGCUGGGGAAUAGGCCCCCAAAUCUGGACAUAAACUGGCCCCAAAACUGGCCAUAAACAAAAUCUCUGCAGCGCUGUGACAUGUUCAUGGUGGCCAUAACGCCCAUGCUGGAAGGCUGUGGUUUACCGGAAUGAGAGCGAGGAACACCUGGCCUAUCCAGGGCGGAAAACCACUUAUAGGUAUUCCUAAACCACAAACAACCUAUGCCUUAAGGACAUGUUCCUGCUGCAGAUAACUAGCCAGAGCCCAUCCCUUUGUUUCGGCCCAUCCUUUUGUUUCCUGUAAGGAGUGCUUUUAGUUAAUCUAUAAUCUAUAGAAACAAUACUUAUCACUGGCUUGCUGUCAAUAAAUAUGUGGGUAAAUCUCUGCUCAUGGCUCUCAGCUCUGAAGGCUGUGAGUCCCCUGAUUUCCCACUCCACAUGC